rnacentral:lncRNA from 1 species
AGGAAAGAACAUGGCCUGUGUGCAGCGGACGCUGAUGAAUCUGGGUGGGCUGGCAGUAGCCCGAGAUGAUGGGCUCUUCUCUGGGGAUCCCAACUGGUUCCCUAAGAAAUCCAAGGAGAAUCCUCGGAACUUCUCGGAUAACCAGCUGCAAGAGGGCAAGAACGUGAUCGGGUUACAGAUGGGCACCAACCGCGGGGCGUCUCAGGCAGGCAUGACUGGCUACGGGAUGCCACGCCAGAUCCUCUGAUCCCACCCCAGGCCUUGCCCCUGCCCUCCCACGAAUGGUUAAUAUAUAUGUAGAUAUAUAUUUUAGCAGUGACAUUCCCAGAGAGCCCCAGAGCUCUCAAGCUCCUUUCUGUCAGGGUGGGGGGUUCAGCCUGUCCUGUCACCUCUGAGGUGCCUGCUGGCAUCCUCUCCCCCAUGCUUACUAAUACAUUCCCUUCCCCAUAGCCAUCAAAACUGGACCAACUGGCCUCUUCCUUUCCCCUGGGACCAAAAUUUAGGGGCCUCAGUCCCUCACCGCCAUGCCCUGGCCUAUUCUGUCUCUCCUUCUUCCCCCUGGCCUGUUCUGUCUCUGAGCUCUGUGUCCUCCGUUCAUUCCAUGGCUGGGAGUCACUGAUGCUGCCUCUGCCUUCUGAUGCUGGACUGGCCUUGCUUCUACAAGUAUGCUUCUCCCACAGCUGUGGCUGCAGGAACUUAAUUUAUAGGGAGGAGCCUGUGGCAGCUGCUGCCCCAGCCACAGCUGCACUGACUGUGCUCACCACACAUCUGGGGCAGCCUUCCCUGGCAGGGGCCCUCGUGGCUUCUCAUUUUCCAUUCCCUUCACUGUGGCUAAGGGGUGGGGUGAGGGGAUGGAGAGGGAGGGCUGCCUACCAUGGUCUGGGGCUUGAGGAAGAUGAGUUUGUUGAUUUAAAUAAAGAAUUUGUCAUUUU